GUCAACAAGGCAUGCAAUCGGGACAAACUGUGACAAUUUAACCAUCCCGGUACAUUUAUCGCCAGCGAGUCAACACAAUGAAGUACUAGUAUCCCGUGACGGAUGUCUGGAGGAGCUUUCUGCAGACAGUAACACAAUGGUUACAAUGUGCGUCCUGUCAAAGGACGAGGAAGUGAAAAGCCAUAUUCAUUCAAUCAACAAAUGUGGUUCCUGUCACAUUUCUCUUAAAUAGGACGAGGAACUGAAAAUCCUUAUUCACUCACAAAUCAAAAUGGCCAAUAUUUAUCAGACACU
rnacentral:lncRNA from 1 species